GUAAUAAGGUUGGUUGAAUUGCUU
rnacentral:snRNA from 1 species